AUUUAUUAAUUUCCAAUUUAUUAAUAUAAUAUUUUUUUAUUUUAUCUUCGAUAUUUGGUCGAUAGAGUCACCCUGAAACUGCAACACAAAAAAGGGAAAUUAAAAUAUGACGUCAUGGCUAUUGGGAAUUACCUUUGUCAAAUUUUGACAUUUUCAAAAUAAAUAUAUUUUUUCAUUCUUUUGCUUCGAUAAACACGGUAUUUUUGUUCCGAUAUUGAAACAAAGUAAAGACAUAUGGGGAAGAAAGGUUGCAGGUUAUUAAAAUAGGUCAUAUGUCAUGGGAAACAAACAUGAUAAGCCUGGACUCCCAACCAUUGAACAAGCCACAGAACCCAAUGUUGAUAUAAACAAAGGUUCUCAACCUAUAAAUGGAAGGAACAGUAAUGAGGCACAUGACAAUCAUGGAACAGUUGCAACAAUACAGGGUGAGCUGAAAGAAACGCAGGGAGAUAACACUGAAGGUUGGGUUACAAUAUCAUUGGCAACUCAAGAUGCCUUGGUAUUCAACCCACAGACCAGCUAUACAUUAUGUGCAGGUGUAGGCAGACAGUUGAAGAUGGACACAGGCCAUCUAGGCGUAGCGGCAGACAAUGAUGCUAACCUCAUACACUCUGUGUUACACCAGAAAUUUGACAUUCCAGAGAAAAAUUCCACGUUACUCUCGAGUGAAAAAGAAAAACAAGCUACAUUAGAAAAUAUACAAUGUGAAUUACGAGCCAAGUCACAGCUUGUGGGGAAAGAUGGUAUUUUGGUUUUCCAGUUCUCCGGGCACUGUUACAAGCUGCAAACAGGGGAGGUGCUAUUAGCCCCAGCAGAUUGCAUGCGCACUAGGAGUACAACUCUUACUAUUCAGGACAUUAUUAACUGCAUACAGGGCACUAUUGCAUCCUACUUUGUGAUGAUCGUUGAUUGUUGCUAUGCCGAACUUGUUGCCGAACAAUUUAUCCUAAAAUGGGAAACAUUAGUCCCAACAUAUAUCCUUGCAUCUUGCAGCUCGAAACAGAAAUCAUUAUCUUUCAAAGAUUUGAAGAAUGGAUUUUUUACUUAUUUUCUUGUGAAAUAUUUUGAGGAUUAUAAAGAAAGGACAUUCCCAACUCUGACAGCUGUUGAUUAUUGUAAACCUCUCUGUGCAGCCAUGAGUACACUUGUCAGCCCAGGGUAUGGUGCAGAUGCAGAGAUGUCCCCCAAAGCUGUAUUCUGUAACAUACAGGUGCUAGAGGAGAGGGUGCUGGUUCAUACUGGUGCAGUAGAUGACAUUGACUUCACACAGCAAACUUAUCCUUAUGAUUUUGCUGUGAAGUACCUGAUGUUAGAUCAAGCUAUUGGGAAAGGCUGUAGUCUCCCAGAGGUACCACAAGCCGUUAAAGUUUGGUUGAUGAAUGAUGCUACACCUGCCAUGGAGAAACUGAAGGGGGCCAGCCUCAUCCACCUGCCAGAGAUGUUUAGUACAGUGAUGGCUUUUCUUGCCCAGUCUGUGGCCAAACUCAUGUACAAGGAUGCAUUGGACAGUACAGGCUCCCAUGAACUCAUAUUUAGGAGUGAUUGGUUCAUAUUGGCUUUCAUCAGAGUCAGUGAGGCUUUGAGUCACGUGGAUGAGAGUCUGCAGCCAGAGCUUAAAGACAUGGAACAUUUUCUUGAAUACUACACAACGAAGGUAAAGUGGAUGACAGAGGAAGACUGGAGAAGUGAAGACCUGACAGAACUGAUUGACUUGUUGAACAAGGUCAGCAGAGACAAUAGGAUGGCACAACAAGGCAAACAACCUGUAGAUGAGAGCGACCAACUGGAUGGAUCACUGAAAGAACAGAUCUAUAUGACUCUAGAAAGCAUCCAGGAAGAAAUGAAAGCAACAUUUUUGCCACCAUUACUUGGAGACCACUAAGAACCAGGAAAUGCAUUUGAUUAGAACUUUCAAAUUUACAAUCUUCUACUUAAGAGGCAUAUACUGUUACACUUGCCAAUUGGUGUAAAAUCUGAACAUUAUUUUGAUGCUUGAAAUGCAUUGUUUGAACAUUAUUUUGACACCCACCUUCCUUGUGGAGUGAGCUUGUCUAAAGUAUACUCCCUGUGCACAAUACUAGUACAUUGUAUGUAAAACCAACCAACAUAAAGUAGAGCACAUUUUAACCCAUUGCAGUAGCAGCAUAUCUCAUGUACAUUCAAUUAGGGAUUUUAAAGCCCCAUACAUAGGUUGAAAAUGUACUUUUUAGAAAUCCAUAUUUGCAUUUCAUAUUUACAACUUUCCAUGCUGCUUUUAAUCAGUUGUAUAUUUAUAAUUAUUAUCAAUUACCUUGUUUUAUGUGUAAUGUGCAAUAUGUAAUUUGAUAUUUACCUCAAGUGUAUGCUUAUUUGAUAUUAAACUGUACUGUACUGCACUGUACUGUACUGUACU
rnacentral:misc_RNA from 1 species